rnacentral:siRNA from 1 species
GCCAGUGUGAUAUGCAAGAC